AAAUUUGAACUUAAAAUAUGAGUCCAAACUCAAAAUCAUUUUUUAAGAAGUAGGUUUUAACUGCUGCUGAUUUUAGUUCUUUAAAAUUAGAAAAUUGAUUAUAGGAAUCAGAAUUAGAUUUUGAAAAACAGGUUACCAGAUGCUCUAUUUGAGGAAAAAAUCACUUUUUGCCCUAAAAUCACUUUCUAUGAUCUAGGCCGAACACCCUUUUACUAGUUAAAAAAGGUAUGAGUUUCAUUGUCAUGCUCCGAGGUCCUUUUAGAUAGCCAGUCUGAAAUCGGGCUAUUUUUAUAAAUCAAAGUUAGCGAAAAAACUGCCCUUUUUUUUUGAAACCUGGACCCCAAAGACGUGCAACAGACCCACCACAAAUACAGAAAAUUCCUGGAAUAAACGGACAGAGUCUCCCCUGUAUUUGCACGUAAUGGCACGUAGUACAAUUUAACAACCAAAUCCCCGCUCACACACACAACAACAGGAUGUACAAGGAUCAUCAUAUUACAUCAACCAGCUAGCCGUUCUCACUUACAUCCAUUCCACAUUCAUUCACUUUCAUCCUAAAAGUUGAAAUUGUCUCCCGCUUGAAGACUUCUUUUUAAAACUCUUAUCUUUGUGAAAAGCCUCGAGAAAACCAUUUAAAAACGUUUCCCACACGGAAAUCAUUAUUUUGAAAACACUACUAUGAGGGGUAAAGAACCACAUUCGAAAACUGAGUCCAAAGCUACAAGAGUUCAAAAGCCACGAAAAUUUCAAAACCAUGAGUAUCCAAAAUCUCGAGUAUCCAAAACACAUAAAUAUUUCAUCCAAAAACUUGCGAGUAUAAAGCAUCGACUGAACCACAUGUAUCAUCUACUAACAGGUGUAGGGGUGAAUUAUACUAUCACAUGUAUGUCUAAUGCUAUGUAUAAAGUAAUCAAGAACCUAUACCGUAAAUCGAGACCUUUAUGACCGCUCACUAGUUACGGCCUUACUCUACGUCCCGACCAAUGCCACCCGCAUCACUUGUGGAGAAAUGGGGGUGAGAAGCCAAUGAGGGUCUUCUAGUGGGUACCUAGGGGUGUAAAACGGGCCAGGCGGCACGUGGGCCGUUCGGCCCGGCACGGCCUCGGGCCGGGCUACAGCACGGCACGGGUAUUGUAGCAUCCGUGCCGGGCCGGCCCGGCCCGAGCCUCCGGGCCGUGCUGGGCCGCUCAUAUGUGGCCCGACGGCCCGGCACGGCACGGCCCGAAACGGGCCUGGGCCGUGCCGGGCCGAGGGGAGGCGGGCGGCCCGGCACGGCACGGCCCGUUUUGCGCCACCCAGCCGUGCCAGGGCACGGCCCUGGCCCCAUUAAGGCCCAAGCAAAUGCUGGCCCUAGGCCUAAGCUUCCUGGAGAGAAGCAGAGGAAGAGCCUCUCAUUGCCAUCUACCCAGGAGAGCGUCGCUGCGCAUAUGUCCACCUGGAGAGAGUGCCAAUGCCCAUGCACCGUCGUUCCCAGCAGCUCUCCCACAGGCCCGCGGCCGAACGCCCGAAGCCCCCGCGGCCGCCCCCGCUUGUCGCCCGCCGCCUCCGGCGCCGGUCCCAAACCAAUGCCCCACCCGUACUGGCCGUCCCCCCGCGCCUCCCCAGCCAGUCCUCACUGCCCCUCCGCUCUUCCGACCCCUCCUCUGCUGACGCCUCCUCCGAGAUCGCUCGCACAGAAGCCGUUGGGGCUCCCCUCCCGAAACCCCCACGCCUCGAAAGCCUCUCGCGCCUCCGAUUUAAUUUUUUUUGAAAAGAAUAAUAACAGUUUUUUUGAAAAAAUAAAAUAAUAAGGAUAUUUACUAAUUAUAGAGAUAUUUUUAUACAAUUUUUAAAUAUAUUUUAAUGCAAGGAUGUUAAACCUGAUGAUUUAACAAAAAUAUAAAAAACGAUAACUAGUUAAUAGUGCCGGCCGAAGCACUGCGGGCACGGCCUGCCCGGCACCGCCCUGUGCCUUCCGCCGAGGAAGGGCCGUUCGGCUCAGAGGCUAGGCACUUGGGCCCGGCAUGGCACGGCCCGAGAAUUGAAAGCGUCGCCGGGCCGUUUGCCGGCUCACGUGUAGAAGCGGUGUGCGUGCGUUUCCUCUAGGAAGAAUAUUGGUCCGUUCCUGCCCGUAGCGCCACAACUCACCUUCAUAUCGGGUACCAUAAGUCGACGAAGGCAAACGUACUCACUGGUAACCAUGUAUAGGUAAAGAAAGGUCUACAGUAGCAAUGUAAGUUGUAAAGAGAGAAGAACUGUAAGUAAGCAUGCAACAACCGUUACUGUAACUAUAUGCGUCCACUGGACGAAAAUUCCAAAUGUACCCAAUCUAUACCGCCGUGUCGGUCUAAGGACCUUAGGCAAGCCACAACCGCUUUGUCUGGCAUAUAAUCCUAGCAAUGGGCUCACGGGUUGGCAACCAAUCAUUUUUUCGGAAAAGAACACCAUCCUGUGGGAGAUCAGACUGCUGGUGUUCGUGAAAUACUGUUGAGCCGUGGCGAUCGAUGCGAAUGGCCGGCAAUCACCGUCCCUCGGGGCACACCGACCAACAGGUCAUCGAAGCUAUACGGGAACACAAGUACCGACCACUCAGGUCAACUAGGAUGGACAAGCUCAAUAUCCUCUCAAGUAUGUAGGUACCGACCACUCAGGUCAACAAGAAAGUACGAGGUCAGCAUCGACAAGAGUAUAGGGAAACUGACCACUCUGGUCAUCUAGGGUGUAUCCGCAAGAACCGGCCUCUCGGGUCAACAACGACACGUCCAAGAGAACCGACUACUUAGGUUAACAAUGGUAUAAGCACAAGAAUCGAUCACUCCGUCAACAAUGACGCGUCUAUGGGAAUCGAUCACUCUGGUCAUCAAUGGGGUAUGCACAAGAAACGACCACUCAGGUCAUCAAUGAUGCGUCUACGAGAACCGACUACUCAGGUCAAUAAUGAUGUAUACGAUCAUGUAUAGGCAACCUCUAAUGCUCUACUUCUAUGUCAUGGCAAACAAGAGAGGAGUAUGCUAAGUAGAGCUAGAGUCGAAGCCAUGUGGUGUAAGGCUCAAGUAUAAGAUAUAUGCAAUAAGUAAGAGGAAAGAGUGGAGGGAAUAUCACUGAGUGUGCACCAUUGAACCGACUUCGGAUCGAAGUACCCACCUGUGUCACAGCUGCACCUAACUCCCGCGGUGUGCAG
rnacentral:lncRNA from 1 species